CCUACGGGAGGCAGCAGUGGGGAAUAUUGCACAAUGGGCGAAACCCUGAUGCAGCGACGCCGCGUGAGUGAAGAAGUACUUCGUUAUGUAAAGCUCUAUCAGCCGGGAAGAAAAUGACGGUACCUGUGUAAGAAGCCCCGGCUAAUUACGUGCCAGCAGCCGCGGUCAUACGUAGGGGGCACGCGUUAUUCGGAUUUACUGGGUGUAACGGGAGCGUAGAUGGCAGUGCCAGUCUGGAGUGAAAGAUGCGGGCUCAACCCCCGGACUGCUGUUGAAACUGGACGGCUGGAGUGCGGGAGAGGUAGGUGGAAUGCGUGGUGUAGCGGUGAAAUGCGUAGAUAUCAGGCGGAACACCGGUGGCGAAGGCAGCAGACUGGA
rnacentral:rRNA from 1 species